UACGUAGGUGGCAAGCGUUGUCCGGAUUUACUGGGUGUAAAGGGCGCGUAGCCGGGAAGGCAAGUCAGAUGUGAAAUCCACGGGCUCAACUCGUGAACUGCAUUUGAAACUGUUUUUCUUGAGUAUCGGAGAGGCAAUCGGAAUUCCUAGUGUAGCGGUGAAAUGCGUAGAUAUUAGGAGGAACACCAGUGGCGAAGGCGGAUUGCUGGACGACAACUGACGGUGAGGCGCGAAAGCGUGGGGAGCAAACAGG
rnacentral:rRNA from 1 species